CCUUGUACACACCGCCCGUCACACCAUGGGAGUUGGUUUACCUUAAGGCGGUACCCUAACCUGCAAAGGAAGGAGCCGACCACGGUAGGAUCAAUGACUGGGGUG
rnacentral:rRNA from 1 species